UUACAUUCCCUGUGUGUUAAAAGGAAAGUCAACGACGACAGUGGAAGAUACUGCACUUAUGAUGGAAGAGAGAGAGAGAAGACGAGACCUUGUGAUUUAACCAACAUAACUUGAAUUUGACAACAUUCCUUGCCUUUACCCUCUCAUCCUCCACCCCGCCUAUUGUUACUCCAAACCCUUUGGUUCCUUUCUUUCAUUAUCUUAGCCUGCAAUCAAACAGCUCAUUGUAUUGGCCGUGACCCACCUACCCAUCAAAAUCCCUAUAUUGAGUUGUACCCUUUUUAAAAAUUUAUUGCAACUUCUGGUUCUGUGGGUGACAAUUUGUAGAAAUAUAGGUGAAAAGUUUCUGUCGGAUCAAGAAAACUCAGAUCUUAAUCGUAAUUUUGAGUGUAAGAUCGGAUAUUGGGUUUUUCUUGAAUUUGUGAUGGGGUGGAAAUAUAAGGCUGGUCUCUUUUUAAUUGCUGCUGUUGUCAUCAUCUGGGUCUCCUCUGCGGAAGUUACUCAGGGUAUUUUCACAGACUAUAAGCAACCUUUUGCAGUGACAUAUCUCGGAGCUUCUCUAUUGGUGAUUUAUCUCCCAGUAGCAUUUAUUAAGGAUUGGAUACACAAUUUCCUGAAGAGACGUACCAGCAAAAGUGUUCAAGGCAUAGACAGUGACUCGUGUUCUAGAAUUGGCUCUCCUUUAAAGUACAUUGGGGGACAGAAAAUCUUUGAGAUGGAAAUUCAAGGAUCCCUGAAUAGGAAAGACAGUGAAAUAGACCUUUCUGUGCAGGAAGAGGGAAGGCCAUUAGUUUUUAAACAUGGAGAUGAUAGUAGAAAUAUUAGACAAGAAAAAGAGGUCACAACCAAAGAAAUUGCCACUUAUGGAUUUUAUCUUGCUCCCCUUUGGUUUAUUACAGAGUAUUUAUCAAAUGCUGCACUUGCUCGUACAAGUGUUGCAAGUACUACAGUUUUGUCUUCUACAUCAGGGUUGUUCACUCUUUUUAUUGGGGCAUUUUUGGGCCAAGAUUCCUUAAAUAUGGCAAAGGUAGUUGCUGUUUUUGUAAGCAUGACAGGGGUUGCCAUGACAACCUUAGGUAAAACUUGGGCCACCGAUGACUCACAACUUAAUUCUUCUACAAGCGGAAAGCGCUCUCUUGUCGGGGAUAUUUUUGGCCUUCUAUCAGCUAUGACUUAUGGGCUAUUUACAGUACUUCUCAAAAAGUUUUCUGGAGAGGAAGGAGAGAGGGUUGAUGUGCAGAAGUUGUUUGGAUAUGUUGGAUUAUUUACACUGGUGGCACUUUGGUGGCUUGUAUGGCCAUUAACAGCCUUGGGUAUAGAACCUAAAUUUACAAUUCCUCACUCUGCUAAAAUGGAUGAAGUCGUUAUUGCCAAUGGACUAAUAGGAAGUGUUCUCUCUGACUACUUUUGGGCCUUGUGCGUUGUUUGGACUACGCCACUUGUUGCCACAUUGGGCAUGUCUCUUACCAUUCCUCUUGCUAUGGUGGCUGACAUGGUUAUUCAUGGACGUCACUAUUCUGCCAUAUAUAUUCUUGGUUCAGCUCAGGUAAUACCAUUUACGGAAGGAAGGAAAGCUGGUGAAUAAAAUCACGUCCAGAAUAUGUGAACACGCUCGUAUUCUACAUGAACUAUUAUUGCAUGUAUAUAGUACUGAACACAAGUUGAUGGUAUUUCUAGGUUUUGUGAUAGCUAAUCUUUCUGAUUGGUUCAAGAAAAAAAUGGGGUUAUGACAGAAAGUUACGAGGUUCGAGGUUAGUCUAGAGAUCGUAAUGUUUGGCUUGUAGCAUUUUUCGUCUCAUACAAGACAGAAGAAUUGGUGGUCGUUUCUUAGCUAUGAGAAAGUUAAAUUCUUUUAUCUUUGAUGGACCUGAAAAAGUUUGUCCAAGGUUUCCAUGUUUUUAGUUUGUUUCAUGCUUGAAAUAGACUUGAAUAUUUGUACAAAAUUUGUUCAAUUGUUAAUAGUACACUGUAUUCUUCAAUUAAUCACAGAUGGAAUGACUUGUGUCC